UACAGAGGUGGCAAGCGUUGUUCGGAAUUACUGGGCGUAAAGGGCGCGUAGGCGGCUUGGUCAGUCCCGUGUGAAAUCCCUCGGCUCAACUGAGGAACUGCACGGGAAACUGCCUGGCUUGAGUUCGGGAGAGGGAAGCGGAAUUCCGGGUGUAGCGGUGAAAUGCGUAGAUAUCCGGAGGAACACCGGUGGCGAAGGCGGGACUCUGGGCCGAUACUGACGCUGAGGAGCGAAAGCGUGGGGAGCGAACAGG
rnacentral:rRNA from 1 species